rnacentral:sRNA from 1 species
UUGACAGCUCUGGAGACUCAAGUCCUCUGUCUCUCAUAAGAACACAAACAGAAAGGACAACAACAAUGCAAGCUUCCUCCUCAAGCUGUCCCUUCACAAUGUGCCUCCACCCUGGCCUGGAGGGACCACUUCAAUGACUGUGGGGAGUUCAGUCUCUGUGGACUCUCAGUUAAGACUGCA